rnacentral:rRNA from 1 species
CCUACGGGAGGCAGCAGUCGAGAAUCAUUCACAAUGGGGGAAACCCUGAUGGUGCGACGCCGCGUGGGGGAAUGAAGGUCUUCGGAUUGUAAACCCCUGUCAUGUGGGGGCAAAUUAAAAAGAUAGUACCACAAGGGGAAGAGACGGCUAACUCUGUGCCAGCAGCCGCGGUAAUACAGAGGUCUCAAGAGUUGUUCGGAAUCACUGGGCGUAAGGCGUGCGUAGGCUGUUUCGUAAGUCGUGUGUGAAAGGCGCGGGCUCAACCCGCGGACGGCACAUGAUACUGCGAGACUAGAGUAAUGGAGGGGGAACCGGAAUUCUCGGUGUAGCAGUGAAAUGCGUAGAUAUCGAGAGGAACACUCGUGGCGAAGGCGGGUUCCUGGACAUUAACUGACGCUGAGGCACGAAGGCCAGGGGAGCGAAAGGGAUUAGAUACCCUAGUAGUC